AAUGGAGCAAAUUCAAUUGGACGGGUUUUCAAUUCUUUGCCCACAAUCGUACGUGAAUUUAAUCAUGGCAAGGCAUAGAAAUUUUACCACUUCAUGUGAGUGUAAUUUCUUACAAACUUCAUUAGAGUUAUAAUUAAACUUUGUUGUCUUUGUCUGUAUAUAAAUCAAAUCAUAGAAUUUGAAGAAUUUGAAAGAGAAAAGUAAAUUACUUACCU
rnacentral:lncRNA from 1 species